GUCGGAGAGAGAGAGUGUAUAGCUUCCUUGGACAUGAUGAGCAGGUCUGGAGCUUUUGUGAGUUAAAGAGGAAGAACGCAGUACUACAACGAAUUGAUUGAGGUCCUAUUAUUUGUUAUGAUCUGGUUUGGAUUCAAUUUGAUUAUGAUCUGUAUUGUUAUGGAUUUUGAGGCAAUGGAAGAGUAUUGGGGAAUGAAGUUGGCAUUCUAGAGUCAGAUUCGAGCAAUGUCGAAACCAAACAGUGAUGUUUGGGUGCACUUCACAACCUAUCCACCAUGUUGGACAAUGCAAGAAAUCUCUGAGAACGCUCUUGCAACAUUGGGGAACUUGGUUCGAACCUUAAUGGGGAAGAAGGCUAUGGAAGAAUCUUUUGUGCUUUUUCAAGUAGAGCGGAAAAAAAGAACCUGAUGAGGUAGAAACUAUAUUCCUUUUAUUUUAUUCAGAAAUCAACUAAAUUGAAUUAUAUAAAGAGGCUGUUUAGAGUUUGCAGUAAAUUAGAAAACCACCACAGCUUCACGUUUUCAAUUGGGGGACCUUCACGGGUGCAGAGAGCGGGACAAAAUAGAGUGAGAGCGGGAGCAAAAUGCCUGAAAUCAAAAGGGAAACAAUGGAAAAGAGAAAUUGAGCGGGACAAAAGAUUGUGUUGCCCCCAAUUGUGUAUUAAAAUCCCUUCGAACUUUCAAAUGGAUAAGACGUGGUUCUGCUAUGAUACGCAUAUAAAACAACCACGUCUGUAGAAGUGGAGGUCAAUUCCCUAUCAGAUGAGUCACCUAUAUGAGGAUGAAGAGGGUUACGAAGAAAAUGGAUAUGACGAUAGUGAGACACAAGAUGUUGGUGGUGACUUUAAUAUUCAACAAGACGACGACAGCGAGACACAAGAUGUUGGUGGCAUGUUUCAUCAGCAAGAUGACAUCAAUGUUUCAUCAGAGGCGCCUGGGGGAAUAAAGAAGCACCGUGGUCCAAACCAGAAGAAUUGGGCAAUGGAGGGUCGGGAAAAGCUCUUGUGGAAUCGUUUUGGACUUCCUAAGGGUCCACGAUUGAAGGUGGCAAGAUUCUCAAGAUUCUUGGGUAUUUUGGCAAAAGACUUUACACUUUUUCCAAUUAGUACACCUGACUACCGGCAUUUCAAUGCUAGUGACAAUCUUGAAAGGGCUUGGAAUCGUGUUAAGGAAACUAUUGAUUGGUCUAAUCCUUGGGUUGCAAGUUUGGAAGGUAAAAUCAAGAAAAGGGUGAAGAGCAAGUUAAAUGAACGGUAGAAGCAAUGGAAGUCUGAGUUGCGCAAAAAAUGGUAUAAACCAUUCAUGAACACACCACGUUGGUUUCAAAAGCCUAAUGAUGAUCGUGUAAAUGAGCGUCAAUGGAAAAUUUUUGUUGCAAACAUGGACAAGAAGAAGCAUCAGAGAAUAGCAAGCAUCAACAAAAGAAAUCGGUCUCAAAAGAAGAUGAACCAAUCAACAGGGACUCGAACAUAUGCAAAUGUCACUCAUGAAUAUGUAAGUGAAACUUCAGUGCAUAC